AUUACAGGCGAAAGCCCAAAAUUCAAAAAACUUGACGGUGUCACAAUCUACCUAGAGGAGCCUGUCUCAUAAUCGACAACCCACGAUAAACCUAACCGCUUUUAGAUUUUUCCAGCCUAUAUACCGCCGUCACAAGCCCACCUUUAAAAGUUUAAAAGUAGGCUAAAUAAUAAUCUAUUAAAAAGUCAGGUCAAGGUGUAGCUUAUAAAGCGGAGAAGAUGGGCUACAUUAUUUAAAAUAAAUAAUACAGAUAUCUCAUGAAAAAAAAAA
rnacentral:rRNA from 1 species